AUUGAACGCUGGCGGAAUGCUUUACACAUGCAAGUCGAACGGCAGCACGGACUUCGGUCUGGUGGCGAGUGGCGAACGGGUGAGUAACACGUGGGCAACCUGCCUGUAAGACUGGGAUAACUUCGGGAAACCGGAGCUAAUACCGGAUAAUCCUUUUCCUCUCAUGAGGAAAAGCUGAAAGUCGGUUUCGGCUGACGCUUACAGAUGGGGCCCCGCGGCGCAUUAGCUAGUUGGUGAGGUAACGGCUCACCAAGGCGACGAUGCGUAGCCGACCUGAGAGGGUGAUCGGCCACACUGGGACUGAGACACGGCCCAGACUCCUACGGGAGGCAGCAGUAGGGAAUCUUCCGCAAUGGACGAAAGUCUGACGGAGCAACGCCGCGUGAGCGAUGAAGGCCUUGGGUCGUAAAGCUCUGUUGUUAGGGAAGAACAAGUAUCGGAGUAACUGCCGGUACCUUGACGGUACCUAACCAGAAAGGCCAACGGCUAACCUACGUGCCAGCAGCCGCGG
rnacentral:rRNA from 1 species